UACGUAGGGUGCAAGCGUUAAUCGGAAUUACUGGGCGUAAAGCGUGCGCAGGCGGCUUUGCAAGACAGAUGUGAAAUCCCCGGGCUCAACCUGGGAACUGCAUCUGUGACUGCAUCGCUGGAGUGCGGCAGAGGGGGAUGGAAUUCCGCGUGUAGCAGUGAAAUGCGUAGAUAUGCGGAGGAACACCGAUGGCGAAGGCAAUCCCCCUGGGCCUGCACUGACGCUCAUGCACGAAAGCGUGGGGAGCAAACAGG
rnacentral:rRNA from 1 species